rnacentral:rRNA from 1 species
UACGGAGGGAGCGAGCGUUGUUCGGAAUUACUGGGCGUAAAGCGUGCGCAGGCGGCUUUGUAAGUCAGAAGUGAAAGCCCUGGGCUUAACCCAGGAAUUGCUUUUGAAACUGCUUGGCUUGAGUAUCGGAGAGGUUGGCGGAAUUCCCAGUGUAGAGGUGAAAUUCGUAGAUAUUGGGAGGAACACCAGUGGCGUAAGCGGCCAACUAGACGAUUACUGACGCUCAUGCACGAAAGUGUGGGGAUCAAACAGG